GUUUGCAUGGAGACGGAAUUCCUAGCCUGAACGCAAGACACGUGUGGCAUGUGACUCAUCGGGCAGGUAAAGUCAGUGGGGUACCUCGACAAGCGCGAAAGUAUUAUGAUUAUGUAGUGAAGUAGUUACUGGGUGGUGAAAAAAAAGGUUGAAGAGUAAGACGAAGAGAAGAAAGAGAGAAAGAUAGAAUUCUUGGUGUAAACCCAUGAGUCAUCAAAUCGCCAUCCCUUGUAAUCUACCUGUUGGCACCUGUUGCGUUUGACCUCUUUGCGCAAACGCUUAACGCUCAUACUUUGUCAAUCUCGUUUCAUUUAAUGUAUACAUUGUAUGUGCAAUUUGCUGUCGGCUUUGUUUUAUUCUUUGAUAUAUGAACAUUGAUUUUACAACUUAAACUCCCUGAACUCUAGACUUAACUCUAAACUCGUACAAGUAAAGCUUAUUUGCUUUAAAUGUUUAACUUGGUGUUACUUUAAAUUUUUAAUACAGAUAAAAAUUUGCUCUAUUAACUGCUGGAGUUUAUACUCAUUUUAUAUAUUUAUAAUUAUUUUUUUUUUCAUGUUUACUAGUGAAAACCCACCGGGCAGUGGGCGGAUUGUCGACCUUGGCUCUUACAAGCUGUCGUGACUCAGAGCGAUGUGUUUUAUAUUAUUUUUUUUUUUCAAUAUAUCAUAAUCAAAUAGUAAAGACGUCUUUCCGAUUUUCCGAGUAAUAGAGCGGUAUAUAUCAGUUCUACUUAUUAGUUAUUUUGAAUGAAUCAUCAGCAGCAGAAUACUAUAAGUCGGAACGAGGAGCUAGCCUUGUUUGGAAUUUCCAGCAGAGCUGGACAAAGGAAUAGAAAGAAAUCCGAGGGUCACCGAAUUUUCAUUCAAGCGUAAAAGCAACCGGGCUGGCAUAAAAACGAUAUUUUUCCCUCGUCACAGCCUUGUUUAUUCAACGGAUAAAAUCUUAAGUGAAAAAAAUAUUAGAUAGUUAAUUAUGUAAGACGUCGAUAAUGUAAAUGUCGAGAAUAGACAUGCCAUGAAAAUCAAAAUAGUAAAUUGCAAGUAAUGGUUUAUUCAUCGGAAUAAAGACUGAUAUUUUUCAAAAGUUA